GACGAACGCUGGCGGCGUGCUUAACACAUGCAAGUCGAACGGAAAGGCCUGCUUUCCCUUGUGGAUUGCGGGUACUCGAGUGGCGAACGGGUGAGUAACACGUGAGUGAUCUGCCCCCAACUUGGGUAUAAGCCUGGGAAACUGGGUCUAAUUCCCAAUAGGACUGCAGGGUGGUGCCUGUGGUGGAAAACGAUUUUCUAGUGGUUGGGGAUGAGCUCGCGGCCUAUCAGCUUGUUGGUGGGGUAAUGGCCUACCAAGGCGGCGACGGGUAGCCGGCCUGAGAGGGUGGACGGCCACAUUGGGACUGAGAUACGGCCCAGACUCCUACGGGAGGCAGCAGUGGGGAAUAUUGCACAAUGGGCGGAAGCCUGAUGCAGCGAUGCCGCGUGGGGGAUGACGGCCUUCGGGUUGUAAACUCCUUUCGACCGCGAGGAAGCCACCUGGUUGGAAGGGUGGUGACGGUAGUGGUAGAAGAAGCACCGGCUAACUACGUG
rnacentral:rRNA from 1 species